UUGAGCCGUGUGCCGCAACGAGUGGCACGCACGGUUCUAGGGGGGAUCGGCGGGACAACCCGCCGGUCCUACCCGAC
rnacentral:autocatalytically_spliced_intron from 1 species